rnacentral:rRNA from 1 species
GUACACGCUGUGACUAGCAUAUCAAUAAGCGGAGGAAAAGAAACUAACAAGGAUUCCCCUAGUAACGGCGAGUGAAGCGGGAAGAGCUCAAAUUUGAAAUCUUAAAGGGUUUCCCUUUACGAAUUGUAGUUUAAAGAAGUGUUUUCUGUUGAGGUUUUGGUAAAAGUUCUUUGGAAUAGGACAUCAUAGAGGGUGAGAAUCCCGUAUUUGACCUUUACUUUCAACUUUGUGAUACACUUUCAAAGAGUCGGAUUGUUUGGGAAUGCAGUCCAAAAUGGGUGGUAAAUUUCAUCUAAAGCUAAAUAUUGGCGAGAGACCGAUAGCGAACAAGUACCGUGAGGGAAAGAUGAAAAGAACUUUGAAAAGAGAGUUAAACAGUACGUGAAAUUGUCAAAAGGGAAGCGUUUGACACCAGUGUUGUUUUUCUGAAAAUCAAUUAAAGAACUGUUUAUGCUAAGUUGUUUAGACUUUAUCAGCUAUCUGUUUAGUUUUGAGCUUUUCUUUAAUGCACUUUUCAGUUAACAAGUCAACAUCAAUUUCUUUUGCUGUAAAAAAGCUUGAGGAAGAUGGCUUGAGAUUCGUCUUAAGUGUUUAUAGCCUCUUGCCUAUGCAGUCGGAGAGAUUGAGGUCUGCAGCGUAGAUCCUUCGGGGCUAAAUGCAUUUGUGCUAAGUUAUAGCAUUUUAUAGACAACUUGUUGACUAUGAUUUGUCUUGUAGCUUACUCGCUUAUGUUAUUUUACCUACGCUUAGGAUGUUGAAGUCAUCGUAUCGCGC